rnacentral:rRNA from 1 species
GACGAACCGAGCGAACGUUGUUCGGAAUCACUGGGCUUAAAGGCGCGUAGGCGGCUUGCCAAGUCAGUGGUGAAAUCCCACAGCUUAACUGUGGAAGUGCCUUUGAUACUGGCGAGCUCGAGGGAGGUAGGGGUAUGUGGAACUUCUGGUGGAGCGGUGAAAUGCGUUGAUAUCAGAAGGAACGCCGGUGGCGAAAGCGACGUACUGGACCUCUUACUGACGCUGAGGCGCGAAAGCUAGGGGAGCAAACGGG